UACGUAGGGACCGAGCGUUGUCCGGAAUCAUUGGGCGUAAAGAGCGUGUAGGCGGCCACUUAAGUCCUGCGUGAAAUCUUGCGGCUCAACCGCAAGCGGUCGUGGGAAACUGGGUGGCUAGAGUGCGGGAGAGGAGAGUGGAAUUCCUGGUGUAGCGGUGGAAUGCGUAGAUAUCGAUCGGAACACCCAUGGCGAAGGCAGCUCGCUGGCCUGCAACUGACGCUGAGGCGCGAAAGCCGGGGGAGCGAACAGG
rnacentral:rRNA from 1 species